UACGUAGGGGCCUAGCGUUGUCCGGAUUUAUUGGGCGUAAAGAGCUCGUAGGCGGUUUGGUGAGUCGGGUGUGAAAUCUCCACGCUCAACGUGGAGGGGCCACCCGAUACUGCCAUGACUAGAGUCCGGUAGGGGAGUGUGGAAUUCCCGGUGUAGCGGUGAAAUGCGUAGAGAUGUGGAGGAACACCGAUGGCGAAGGCAGCCCCCUGGGCUAACACUGACGCUCAUGCACGAAAGCGUGGGGAGCAAACAGG
rnacentral:rRNA from 1 species